rnacentral:rRNA from 1 species
AGUGAACGCUGGCGGUAGGCCUAACACAUGCAAGUCGAACGGCAGCACAGUAAGAGCUUGCUCUUACGGGUGGCGAGUGGCGGACGGGUGAGGAAUACAUCGGAAUCUACUUUUUCGUGGGGGAUAACGUAGGGAAACUUACGCUAAUACCGCAUACGACCUACGGGUGAAAGCAGGGGAUCUUCGGACCUUGCGCGAUUGAAUGAGCCGAUGUCGGAUUAGCUAGUUGGCGGGGUAAAGGCCCACCAAGGCGACGAUCCGUAGCUGGUCUGAGAGGAUGAUCAGCCACACUGGAACUGAGACACGGUCCAGACUCCUACGGGAGGCAGCAGUGGGGAAUAUUUGACAAUGGGCGCAAGCCUGAUCCAGCCAUACCGCGUGGGUGAAGAAGGCCUUCGGGUUGUAAAGCCCUUUUGUUGGGAAAGAAGAGCAGCAGGUUAAUACCCCGCUGUUCUGACGGUACCCAAAGAAUAAGCACCGGCUAACUUCGUG